rnacentral:lncRNA from 1 species
UCGCCGGGCGGGGAGCGGCAGCGGGGAGCGGCCUCGCGCGGGCCCGUGAGGCGGAGCGGGGCUGGGCCGGCCGGAGGCGGUGCCCAUGAGGCGGCGGGGCGGGGCGCGGCGGGGCCCGCCCGGGUCUGUCAGCGUAACGGCCCGCAGCGGCGGGGGAAGGCGCGGGGAAAGAGGCGGUCGGAGCGCGAGGCUGCGGCCCGGGGACGUCCGGGGAGGGAGGCAGCGGCUACGGGAAGGACGUGAGACCAGUAUCAAGGCAGUAUGGUUACUGCAAUUCUCUGUGAGAGUUGAAGAGAAGCACUUGCUCAAAACAGCAAAGGACCUGGUUCCAAAGGUAGCAUUCAUUAACGUUUUUUUCUUCUUCCAUUUGAUGUUGUUGGCAUGAUUAGUACUUAAUUCUAAAAUAACCGUACCAUCAGUAAGAUUUUCUGAUUUUUUUUUCUGUGAUUUUUAUAAUCCCAGAGUUAUGGUAGUUAAUCCUGUUUCAUCCCAUGUAGAAAUAGCAUUGUUCAAAAAGAUAUCUUCUGUAGUAAUAACAUCACCCAAGAAAAAUGUCUAAUUAUAAUAACCUUUCAAUGAAAUAUAAGAGCUGGAAGUAGACAUGUCCAAAUCUGCAACUGUCUAUAUGGGAUAUAUUCAUGGUUUCAUUUUCAGUAUUUAAAAUUAAAAAUUCCAUUAAGGAAUUAUUUUCUAAUGUUUACUAUCUAUGAUGUAAACUGUGUUGUGGAUGAAGACACCUUCAUUGCGUUUCGUCAUUGUCUUGACUCUGUCAGUGAUGGUGAUCUUUUGUAUUAAGAUAAUGGGACCUUCAGGCCCUUGGGCAUUAAACAAGGUGGUGGGCAGGUGGAGUAGAAGGUGAGUCCUACUCCACUCAGUGUGCCUCUGUGGGCUGGAGAAGGACGAUAUAAAACAAUACUAGAGUACUACCACCCCUUGCUGUUUUAUCAUGCCGCAAUAUUCCAUAUAAGUAUAAACCCUGCCUGAGUAAGAGCAAAAUCUGCGUAUCUUGUGAUGAGACUGUGUUAAUUUUAUCUACAUGCAGUUGCUGAAACCAUAACACGUGAUGCCAAAGAUUUUUCUCAUAUGCUGUAAACAUGUUCUGCUCUGCUGUGCCAAAACAUUUUGUCACAAAAACUAGCUCUUUUAGAGAUUCUAAAAACAAACAAGAAAAAAACUGUUCAUUAUGUGAUUUAUUGGGGAUUGUCUUGUUCUUAGAUUUUAAGAAUUAAAAACAAGAGGAAGGUGAGAAUGUAAAAAAAAAAAAAAAAAGACAUAAGUGGAAUCAUGAGGGAAAAUUUAAGUAGAAAAGAAAGUAGAAGAGAACAUGUAAUAAGAAAACAGAAUGGAUUUAUAGCUUGACAGCAACCCUGAUGGAUGACUACUGU